rnacentral:rRNA from 1 species
ACCAGCUGCACCAUCCUGAAUACACUUGAGCUCACCUGAUCUUGGAAACUAAAAAGGGUGGGGCUUGGUUAGUACUUGGAAGGGAAACCACCUGGGAAUACCCUGUACUUACUGGCU